UGACUCUAAAGGAGACCUGACAGCCUUCCUUCUCUGGUCCUCCUUUCCUGAAAGUCAAUUUAUUGAUGACAGUCAAAUAUUAAAAGUUAAGAUGGAAGAAAUAAAAGCCAUUUCCUCACUUCAGAGAAACCAGCAAGUAUCCCCAGAAGAUGGCAGGGUGAGAGAGGAAACAGAGAAAAGCAACUGCGGAGAGAGAACAGAAUUCUCCUGAGAGCUUUCCAUGGAGACUUCUCGUGGGAGGAGAUGCUUGGGGGUCCCAGUUGUUGCAGUCACGGCGAUUUCAAUAUCCACAAUAUUGUCGCUAUACACUGCGUUGACAAAGCCUUGGUGAUAUCCUCGGUCCCAGCUGCUGCUGACUGACAGACCUAGAAAGGCCCAUCUACUGGGGUUCGAAGUCAUUGGUUAAAAGUUAACAGCCAGAGGAUAAUUCUCUGGUGCAGAACAGAAGGAGGAAG
rnacentral:lncRNA from 1 species